rnacentral:rRNA from 1 species
CCAAUCGAACUCGGAGAUAGCUGGUUCUCCUCGAAAUAGCUUUAGGGCUAGCGUCGUGUUAGUAGCACAUGGGGGUAGAGCUCUGUAAAGGACUGGGGCGGGCAACUGUACCCACCCUUAACAAACUACGAAUACCAUGUGUGUAAUCACGGCAGUUAGAACAUCGGUGCUAAGAUCGGUGCUCAAAAGGGAAACAGCCCAGACCAUCAUCUAAGGUCCCUAAAUUAACGUUCAGUGGGAAACAAGGUGAGAUUUCUUAAACAGCUAGGAUGUUGGCUUAGAAGCAGCCAUUCAUUUAAAGAGUGCGUAACAGCUCACUAGUCAAGAGAUCUUGCGUGGAAAAUGUAACGGGGCUAAAACGUUAUACCGAAGAUAUGGAUUACACGCUAAGUACAAAGUUAAAGUUGUGUUACAAUCAAUUUAUGGAAAAUGAGAUUUACGUAGGUAGCGUUUAUAAACACUAUAAAGGCAAUAAGUAUGUUGUUGUAAGUAUAGCUGUUCAUACUGAGACGCUUGAAGAGCUUGUAGUUUAUCGAGCCAUUUAUGGCGACGGAGAAUUAUGGGCUAGACCUAAGAAAAUGUUUUUAGAUAAUAUUGAAAAAGACGGAAAGAUCAUUCCAAGGUUUAAAUUGAUUAAGAAACUUUGAUUUUGUUCUUAGUGUGUAGUGGUAGAGGAGCGUUCCUAUCAGCGGUGAAGUCGAAUCGGAAGGUUCGGUGGAGCGGUAGGAAGUGAGAAUGCUGGAAUGAGUAACCAUAAGAGAGGUGAGAAUCCUCUCGGCCGUAAGAGCAAGGUUUCCUGAGCCAUGGUAAUCAUCUCAGGGUUAGUCGGGCCUAAGCCGAGGCGCAGAGCGUAGGCGAUGGACAUCAGGUUAAUAUUCCUGAACCGGUUAAGUUUUGUACACUGUUCACGGGGAAGUAAUCGAAGCGGAUUCAUGGUUUAUCCGUCCAACCGAGCGGGAACGCAAAGGGAGUGAAAGUGAUUCUUCGGAGUCGCGAUUUUGGUGAAAGCCCUGGCUAGAAAAGCAGGUGUACGCGUGGACUUAGCCGCCCGUACCGCAAACCAACACAGGUGCUCGAGUCGAGUAGACUCAGGCUUACGAGCGAACCUUCGCUAAGGAACUCGGCAAUACAGCGACCGUAACUUCGGGAUAAGGUCUGCCCCCACUUCGGUGGAUAUCAGCCGCGUUCACUCAGUGAAUAUUAGGUUAAAGAGUACAUUUUUAAUCACAAAACGAAUUUUCUGAGAUAGAGCAAACGAAUUGUUCUUUUGAACGUGAACCUCUGACAUCUAACGAUGUGGGGGCCGCAGCAAAAGAGCCCACGGAACUGUUUAUCAAAAACACAGGUCUCUGCUAACACGAAAGUGGAUGUAUAGGGGCUGACUCCUGCCCAGUGCUGGAAGGUUAAGGGGAGUGCUUUACGGUGCGAACUGAAGCCCCAGUGAACGGCGGCGGUAACUAUAACCGUCCUAAGGUAGCGAAAUUCCUUGUCAGGUAAGUUCUGACCCGCACGAAUGGAGUAAUCAUGUGGGCACUGUCUCGGCGAAGGACUCGGUGAAAGUGCAUUGGCGGUAAAGAUGCCGUCUGUCCAUGCCAGGACGAGAAGACCCCAUGGAGCUUUACUACAGCUUUACAUUGACACGGGUUACAUCAUGUGUAGCAUAGGUGGGAGGCUUUGAAGCAGAUACGCCAGUAUUUGUGGAGCCACAGGUGAAAUACCACCCUUGAUGUAGUCUUUGUCUUACCAUUGCCGUUAUCCGGUAAUGGGACCGUGUAUGGUGGGUAGUUUAACUGGGGCGGUUGCCUCCUAAAGAGUAGCGGAGGCGUUCAAAGGUUGGCUAGCUUCGGAUGGAAAUCGAAGUGAUAGUGCAUGCGCAAAAGCCAGCUUGACUGCGAGAAUUACAAUUCGACCAGAGUGGAAACACGGAGCAAGUGACCCGCUGUAAGAACAUUGUUCAUUGAAUGUGGGAUCGACAGCGCACACGGAUAAAAGUUACCCUGGGGAUAACAGGCUUAUCGCGCCCAAUAGUUCACAUAGACGGCGCGGUUUGGCACCUCGAUGUCGGCUCAUCACAUCCUGGAGGGGGAGCACCUUCCAAGGGUUCGGCUGUUCGCCGAUUAAAGUGGUACGCGAGCUGGGUUCAGAACGUCGUGAGACAGUUCGGUUUAUAUCCGGUAUGGACGAUAGGAAACUUGAGAGGAUCUACCCCUAGUACGAGAGGACCGGGGCGGACGCACCUCUGGUGUAUCGAUUGUGGCCACCUGCUGCAUUGUCGAGUAGCUAUGUGCGGACUAGAUAAGCGCUGAAAGCAUAUUAAGCGCGAAACUAACCUCAAGAUAAGGUUUCCCUAUGAGGACACAGAAAGACUAUCUGUUUGAUAGGCGCAAGGUGGAAGUACAGUAAUGUGUGGAGCUAAAGCGUACUAAUAGUCCCAUUGCCUUUUUAUG